CGGAGGGUGCAAGCGUUAUCCGGAUUCACUGGGUUUAAAGGGUGUGUAGGCGGGCAGUUAAGUCAGUGGUGAAAUCUCCGGGCUCAACCCGGAAACUGCCAUUGAUACUAUCUGUCUUGAAUACCGAUGAGGUGGGCGGAAUAUGUCAUGUAGCGGUGAAAUGCAUAGAUAUGACAUAGAACACCAAUUGCGAAGGCAGCUCACUAAACGGUCAUUGACGCUGAGGCACGAAAGCGUGGGGAUCAAACAGGAUUAGAUACCCUGGUAGUCCACGCCCUAAACGAUGAUUACUCGACAUACGCGAUACACAGUGUGUGUCUGAGCGAAAGCAUUAAGUAAUCCACCUGGGAAGUACGUCCGCAAGGAUG
rnacentral:rRNA from 1 species